AAUUAUUUUACACGAAGUCGGGGGAGCUAGUUACUAUAUUUUGUAGAAUUAAAAGUGUAACAAAACCUGAAUUAAUAGUGACUAGGAGUGAUAGGCUUACCACACCCGACGAUAUCUUGAUGAUUUAGAAACGUAUUAGUACGAAGACACUCUUAAAGUGAUAAGGUUUUAAGAGAAAACAAAUUUUCUGGAAAAUGCUGUAUCUUGCUUAAUCGUUAAUAUUUAUAGAAAAUAAUAUAAAUUUAAAAGCAAUUGUUUAGUUUAUAAAUCUAUAAUUAAAUAUUUGACAAAUAAUUAAUGUUAAUAUUAGUAACAAAGGUAUUAAUAGUGAACUCGGCAAUAAGUCUUUCAACUGUUUACCAAAAACAUAGCUGUAUGUAUUUAUAUACAGUCAUUUCUGCUCAAUGAACAUUUAAAUAGCCGCAGUACCCUGACUGUGCUAAGGUAGCGCAAUCAAUUGACUUUUAAAUGAAGUCCUGUAUGAAAGAAAACAUGAAGGGCUACUUUCUUAUUAAUAAUUGAUGAAUUUACUUAUAAAGUGCAAAUUCUUUAAAAUAAAUAAAAGACGAGAAGACCCUAGAAAUUUUGAGUUGAGACUUUUUGUUGGGGCAACAAAGUAGCAAGUUAAUCUACUAUUAUAACCAGGAAAAAUAUUAAGAAAGAUAAAAUUACUCUAGGGAUAACAGCAUAAUUUGAAAAAGUUUGUGACCUCGAUGUUGGAUUAGGGAAUUUACGUUUAGAAG
rnacentral:rRNA from 1 species